rnacentral:rRNA from 1 species
GUAAAAUAGCUAUUGUCAAAAUAUAGAGAGUAUAAAAAUUUUUGAUAGUAGUUUAUUAUAAAUUUCAAUAAUUUAAAAUGUGUAUUGAUUAAAGAAAGAUUGUUCUUAAUCCGAGAGGAUCAUAAAAUUGAAGAAUUAAAAUUUGUUAAGUAGAGUUCUUUUUGUAUCAUGAUUUAUAAAGUGAAUAAUUAAAUUAUUUUUCCCGAAAACUCUAGAGCUACUAUCUAAUGGGUGACUGUUGCAGAAAUCAUUUGAAUUUGAUAGUAGAAGUGAAAUGCUUUUCGAAAGGGUUGGUAGCUGGUUAGGGGGGAAAUACAUUUCAGUGUAGAGGUGGUUUCGUUGAAAGUUUUAAAGUGUGGGGGAUAAAUGUCAAAGUGAUUAUCACACUAUAUAGACUAAGUUAUUUACACAAUCAAUUUUCCACUAUUAAGAUUUUCUGGGAUAAGCUAGGAAAUAAGAUUAAAUAAAAAGUAAGUAAGUAGGAUUAGAAGUGUCUACCUUAUAAAAAGUUAGUAACAAGGUGCUUUUUAAUAAAAUGUUUAUUUAGUACCCCCUGUUUUUUAUUAAUACCAUACAAUACAUAAGUAUAAAAUUAGUAGCUGGCAUUUAACUUGGUAAAUUAAUUAAUAAGCUAUUAGUUAAUGAUUUUAAUCUUAUCAUUAGUUAUUAUAGUAAAAUGAGUUAUUUAUAACACUCUUCAAAGGAACUCGACAAAUAAUCUCUUCGCCUGUUUAACAAAAACAUGGCUUUUUGUUUAAUUAAAUAUAAAAAGUCGGACCUGCCCAGUGAGAUAUUAAACGGUUGCGACGAGAGUUGUACUAAGGUAGCGCGAUAAUUUGUCUUUUUAUUGGGGAAUGGGAUGAAGGGUUUGACGAAGAGAAAUUGUCUCUGAAGAGAUAAGUGAAGUUUCCUUUUAAAUGAAAAGGUUUAAGUAAUAUUAAAAGACGAGAAGACCCUAUCGAGCUUGAUUAAACAAAGAAUUAAGUAUCAAAAGAAGUGUUAUUCUAACAGAUUAAGUAGAAUUUUUUUGUUAAAGUUUAGUUGGGGUAAGCUGGUUUAAAAAUAAUUAAGCCAAAAUAGGUGAAGAUCCUUUUUGAAAGAAAAUAGCAAAAGCUACCGUAGGGAUAACAGCGUAAUUUUUCUUGAGAGGCCUUAUUUAGGGAAAAGUUUGCGACCUCGAUGUUGGAUUAGAAAAACUCUUUGGUGUAGCCGCUAAGGAAUGUAAGACUGUUCGUCUAUUAAUUUUCUACAUGAUCUGAGUUCAGACCGGCGUGAGCUAGGUCGGUUUCUAUCUUUAUUUAUUAUUGCCACUGUACGAAAGGAUCCGGCUGUAGAGUUUUAUUCUAAAAUUUAGCUAAU